rnacentral:rRNA from 1 species
ACAGAGGGGGCAAGCGUUGCUCGGAAUCACUGGGCGUAAAGGGCGCGUAGGCGGGAUGGCAAGUCGGUCGUGAAAUCCCUUGGCUCAACCGAGGAGCGUCGGCCGAUACUGCCGUUCUUGAGGGAUGCAGAGGAGACUGGAAUUCCCGGUGUAGCGGUGAAAUGUGUAGAUAUCGGGAGGAACACCAGUGGCGAAGGCGGCGAUCUGGGAAGAUACUGACGCUGAGGUGCGAAAGCGUGGGGAGCAAACAGGA